GGAUGGGUGGCAGAGCGGUUUAAUGCGCCGGUCUUGAAAACCGGAGUGGCUGAAAGGUCACCGUGGGUUCGAAUCCUACCCCAUCCG
rnacentral:tRNA from 2 species